UGCCAUCUAGUGGAAACAGCUCAAUAAAAACGCUAUACUAUGAAUAAAACUCAGCUUCCUUUGUUCUAUUUUAUUUAUUUUGAACCAAGACGGACAGAGAAGAGAGGGCUAGGUUGCAUAGACUCCAGGGCACACUGCAUGCUGGGUGUUUUUAUUUUUAUCUAAAAGUUCACUCUACCCGAGAAGACUCUAGUUGUGAGAUCUAACAAGUAUAAAUAGUCCCUUAUCAUUGACAUUUUGUGAAAAUGGGCAACUCUUCAACUUUGAGAAGGUAUACUUGAGGCCAACAACAAGGAACACAUAAUCUGGUCUCAGGAAACAUUUUGCAUCAUCUGGUAAAGGGAUUUCUGCCUCAUCAGAUUACAGACUACAUGUGAAGCCUUGAAGGAUAGCUCCAAGGAGAUGCGUGAGCACAAGGCAGUGUCCUCACAGUGAGCUAGGAAGAGGCUUGCACUGUCACUGCCAGUCCGUUUGUGCAUCAGAGAAGGCCUAAGCGUAAUUGAGCAGUCAUUGCUGUCUCCUCCAGGGAGAGGAACCAUCCUCCUCACAGAUGGCUGAAGAUCUUAUGAAGCUGAACCUCCCAACAAAUCCUCAUAUUUCGAUACAAAUAAGAAUAUGAUUGUCAAUAUUCAUACAAUGUUUUAAACCUUAUGUAGCAAUUUUGCACAUUCUUAUACUCUUUCAGAAAUAGUGUGGGUUGUGAUGAUAGAUUUGGGUUUGAAUUCUGGUUAACCUGUUGGCUAUGUGAUCCUGGGUGAGUUACGUAACCUCUCAGAACAUAUUUUCUCCUCUAUAAAAUGGUGAUGGUGAUGGUGCUAGGGUCAAAAUGAUACCACCUUAUGGGAUAAGGAUUGGAUGAGAGAAAUACCUAGCUUGACCCAUAAGAGGCACUCCAUUUCCUUCCCUUUUAUAAAGGUGGUUAUUUGCAUCAGUAGACCUCAGAUUUCCACAAUAGUUACAUGUUUAUAUAGGUGAUGUGUUCUCUUCAAACAUGUCUCAUGUUACAUGGUGAAUUUUUUUUUAAGAGAUAGGGUCUCACCCUGUCACCUAGGCUGGAGUGCAGCAGCAUGAUCCUAGCUCACUGCAGCCUUGAACUCCUGGGUUUAAAAUAUCCUGCCGCCUUAGCCUCCUGAGUAGCUGGGACUACAGGUGCAUGCCACCACACUUGGUUAAUUAAAAAAAAUUUUUUUUGUAAGGACAGGGUCUUGUUAUGUUGCCCAGUCUGGUCUUGAACUCCUGGCCUCAAGUGAUCCUCCUGGCUUGGCAUCCCAAAGCACUGGGAUUACAGGCAUAAGCCACCACACCUGGCCUCCCAGUGAUUCUUAACUCAGCAAUGGGGCAUGGAGGCGUUAAUAUCUGUAUUGCUAUAAAGCACCCCUGAGCCUCCAGACUGAGAAUUGUCAGUCUACAGUAUGAUACCCCAAGUAUCUCUCAUGAGUUUGAUAUUUUUGUGAUACCUUAUUCUUCACUCUUAGUAGGUUUAUUUCAAUAAAGUAAGGCUUUGCUUAUAUGGGAGGGCAGUGCAUUAAGCUAAUGCAAAUUAUAGUUGAUAAACUACCUUCUCAUGUAUCGCUGAAUGCCAGGGAGCAUUUUUGUUGGGGGCAGUGCUGGCGGGAGUUUUGAUGGAAGUAAUAGUAGAGAGAUGGAGAGUACACAAGACCUAGAGGAGGGUUGAUUGAACCAUAAGGAAAAACAGAUAAAAGGGAAGGUGAGAGGAAUUGAAGACAAUUAUCAUUUUUCUCAUACAGCCUCAUUUAGCAGGCUGAGACUUGGCUGUUUCGGGAGUACCUGCUGCCUCUCACUAGAAACUGCCAUCUUUAUGCUAUCACCCUGUCUCUCAUCCAGUCUUACCUACCUGAGGUAUAAGACCUGGACUCACCACUUGAGUUAUACAUGGCUACCUGAUCCAUCUCUUCAAAGUCAUAUUAAAUACUAUAAGAUUCUCAGAUUUAAUCUGUCAAAACCUAAAUAGUUCUCCCUAUAAUGAUACACGAAUGGUUACAAAUAAAGUUUGGAAACUGCAAAUUAGAAAACUAGAGAGAAAGGAAGUGGUUCCAGUCUACCAUGAGCAGCUCAUAGGCUAGAUGAACUGAACAUAGCUUUUGGUUUGUUCUAAGGAAAGGAUAUAAGACCAAAGUGUCCAUAAAGUUCUUAUUUAAAGUAACUUUUAGAGUUUGGGGUAAGAGAUCUUUCAAUUGAAACUACUAAGAAUACUUCUUAGGCCAGGCAAUUUGAAUUGAUGAGAUAAGAUAAAGCUGAAGGUCAAAGUUAUGACUUUGAGAAGAGUCAAGGCAAUGCCAUCAUCAAGGGAGCCAAUCUUCCAGUAGACAGGGGCUCCUGGAGUGAGAACUACAGACCUGCUGUUUCCAGGCUGCAAAUUAAUUGCAUUGGCCCAGCAGACACCAUCAGUAAACAAGCCUGCCAGGGAAUAUCUACUUGAUCCUCUUUCACAGAGCAAACUUCCAAGGGCUGCCUGGGUCCCAUCCUUAUUUUGUUAUCAUCUUCAAGUGAGUCCAAGUGCACAGCAAUGAAAAAAAUGCAUGUGUAGACUAAAGAAAAGAGUAACAUAACGGUGCGUUGGACCAUGAAGUGAUAGAUAGCUUCAUGAGGAAAGAAGAAUUUUGGAGGGACCUUGAUUAUGGGCAAAAUUUAAAGAAAGAUGGGAGACAGCAAAUGUAUCCAUACUUCUGGAAUGUUUUAGCUUUUGGCACUUAGGUUUGAGCAUCCCCAGAUGUCUGUGGUGUACCUCAUAAUCUGGUCCUUGCAGUUGGGCUGAUGUGAUAACAUCUGUUAUCUAAGGUAUCUACUGUGUGCUCAUGGACAAGGCAUCUGUUUCUGUGACUCUGUUUAUUUUCAUUGAUGACUCCCAUAUUGAAACUCCUGGGAAUGAUUCCAUGAAAGAUGAAAUAAGCCAAGGUUCGAAGGAGCAAACAGUUCAAACACAUAGUAAUAUAGUGGGAAUUAGAGCAGCCUGAUGGAUGUGUGGAGACUUCACCAGCUGGAAGCAGACUGGGAAUUACAAGUUUCAUCAACAGAACCAAAGCACAUGACAUACGCCACAGGGCAGAAUCCUUAUUAUGUAAUAAUAACCCCUGCACACUUCUCUCCCCCAGUUAACAAUGCACAGAUUGAGGUCAUUGUGUAUUUACAACCUGGAGAUAGCUGACAGCCCAUACUUCACCUUGAAGUUUGACUUGUCUGUUCCCUCAAAUGUGUCGACACUUCUGAAAUGUUUUCUCCUUUGGCACAUCGGUUUGAACAUCCCCAGAUGUCUAUGGUGUACCUCAAAAUCUGGUCCUUGCAGUCGGGGUGAUAUGACACAUCUGUUGUCUAAUGUACCUACUGUGUGCUCACGGACAAAGCCAAAUAAUUAAUCUGGGCCGGGAUUGUUCAUGCUUUCACAGUUCGGUUCGGCAUUGAUCUCUUCUUGCAGAAGGCCUAUAUUGGGACCAAACUGGGAAUGCAACAGGGCAAAGUUGGUCUAAAAAUCCUCUGGGAAUUUUCCAUUUGGCAAUUAAAUUUUCUGUAGAUUACAUCUCUCUAUCAAUUACCAGUGUGGCUUUUAUAAUGUUAUAAAAUCUGAGCAUAGCCAGUUACAUUUCUUUUACCCUGAGUCUCUGGGUCUUUAUCUGAAAAAUUAAAGGACUAGAAAAGAUGA